UCAAAUAACGCAAAAAAUAACACAAACAAACAAAACGUAACAAAGAAACAGACUCCGACGUAUUGUAAUGAGCGACGAUCUGAAACAGUUGACAGAUUGGACAGGUGGUGCGAAAGGCGCAGUUAAAAGCAAACGCGUCAUUAUUUACGCGCUUAGGUGGGCAAAUUAUUAAGGUGCAUUCGUGGAGGUGACUCGACUCGAGUGCGACUUUAAGCAGCUGAUUGAUGGGGCAACAGAACGCCCCAAAAUCCAUCCAAGCGCCGCUUGGCCUUAAUAACUAAUGCAAAUUAAUUUAGCGACUGUCUGCGAUUGAAGUGUAUUUAUGUGGCCGUUAACUGCACUGAG